rnacentral:rRNA from 1 species
AACGAACGAUGGCGGCAGGCUUAACACAUGCAAGUCGAGCGCAUCCUUCGGGGUGAGCGGCAGACGGGUGAGUAACGCGUGGGAAUCUACCUUUUGCUACGGAAUAGCUCCGGGAAAGUGGAAUUAAUACCGUAUGUGCUCUUAGGGGGAAAGAUUUAUCGGCAAGAGAUGAGCCCGCGUUGGAUUAGCUAGUUGGUGGGGUAAAGGCCUACCAAGGCGACGAUCCAUAGCUGGUCUGAGAGGAUGAUCCGCCACAUUUGGACUGAGACACGGCCCAAACUCCUACGGGAGGGAGCCGUGGGGAAUAUUGGACACUGGGCGCAAGCCUGAUCCAGCCAUGCCGCGUGAGUGAUGAAGGCCUUAGGGUUGUAAAGCUCUUUCACCGGAGAAGAUAAUGACGGUAUCCGGAGAAGAAGCCCCGGCUAACUUCGUG